rnacentral:rRNA from 1 species
GUCCCAAGGGUAUGGCUGUUCGCCAUUUAAAGUGGUACGCGAGCUGGGUUUAGAACGUCGUGAGACAGUUCGGUCCCUAUCUGCCGUGGGCGCUGGAGAACUGAGGGGGGCUGCUCCUAGUACGAGAGGACCGGAGUGGACGCAUCACUGGUGUUCGGGUUGUCAUGCCAAUGGCACUGCCCGGUAGCUAAAUGCGGAAGAGAUAAGUGCUGAAAGCAUCUAAGCACGAAACUUGCCCCGAGAUGAGUUCUCCCUGACUCCUUGAGAGUCCUGAAGGAACGUUGAAGACGACGACGUUGAUAGGCCGGGUGUGUAAGCGCAGCGAUGCGUUGAGCUAACCGGUACUAAUGAACCGUGAGGCUUAACCUU